ensembl:lncRNA novel transcript
GGAGGCACUGUGAGGAAGGGAUGGAGCCGGAAGUAGGAAGUAGAACAAGAUUCUACUUAUGGGUGGAUGAGAUGGCCCCAGAAAGAAGAGCAGGGAAGGCAACAUAGAACAGGAAAUGGACCAGGCCCCACGGGAGACUGGACAGUUUCCACAUUUGCUGUAGUUCUAGGCAGAGCCAGUCUUCUAAGAAGCAAAGAAUCACUGAAUGGUAAAGAUACUUGGAGGGCCUCUCUACCUUCCCACCCAAAAUACCUUCCCACCGAUCCCUGAUGCAUGAAAUCACACCAUUAAAGAGUGGUUCCUUUGACUGUGAAA